GUGAGGAAUCUUGCACAAUGGGCGAAAGCCUGAUGCAGCGACGCCGCGUGCGGGAAGAAGGCCUUCGGGUCGUAAACCGCUUUUCUGAGGGACGAGACAGGACGGUACCUCAGGAAUAAGUCCCGGCUAACUACGUGCCAGCAGCCGCGGUAAUACGUAGGGGGCAAGCGUUAUCCGGAAUCACUGGGCGUAAAGGGCGUCUAGGCGGCAAGGCAAGUCUCGCGUGAAAGCUCCCGGCUCAACCGGGAGAGCGCGCGGGAAACUGCCUGGCUAGAGACUCGGAGAGGGGUGUGGAAUUCCCGGUGGAGUGGUGAAAUGCGUUGAGAUCGGGAGGAACACCAGUAGCGAAGGCGGCACCCUGGCCGAGUUCUGACGCUGAAGCGCGACAGCGUGGGGAGCAAACGGGAUUAGAAACCCCAGUAGUCC
rnacentral:rRNA from 1 species